rnacentral:rRNA from 1 species
GAUGAACGCUAGCGGCAGGCCUAAUACAUGCAAGACGAACGGUAAGUUGAGUAGCAAUACUUAGCCAAGAGUGUCGUACGGGUGCGUAACACGUAUGCAACCUACCCUAUACAGGAGGAUAGCCUAAGGAAACCUGGAUUAACCCUUCAUAGUAUUAUUGGAUGGCAUCAUUUGAUAAUUAAAACUGAGGUGGUAUAGGAUGGGCAUGCGUCUGAUUAGUUAGUUGGCGGGUAAUGGCCCACCAAGACGAUGAUCAGUAGGGGUUCUGAGAGGAAGAUCCCCCACACUGGCACUGAGAUACGGGCCAGACUCCUACGGGAGGCAGCAGUAGGGAAUAUUGGUCAAUGGAUGCAAGUCUGAACCAGCCAUGCCGCGUGCAGGAAGAAGGCCUUCUGGGUUGUAAACUGCUUUUGCCAGGGGAUAAAAUUUCCAUGCGUGGAAAACUGAAGGUACCUGGUGAAUAAGACCACGGCUAACUACGUGCCAGCAGCCG